GACGAACGCUGGCGGCGUGCUUAACACAUGCAAGUCGAACGAAGUGGCGAACGGGUGAGUAACGCGUAAUCAACCUGCCCUUCAGAGGGGGACAACAGUGGGAAACGACUGCUAAUACCGAAUACUGAAGGAGGGGAUUGCGUCGGAUUAGCUAGUUGGAGGGGUAACGGCCCACCAAGGCGAUGAGCAGUAGCCGGGCUGAGAGGCUGAACGGCCACAGUGGGACUGAGACACGGCCCAGACUCCUACGGGAGGCAGCAGGGGGGAAUUGUCCGAAAUGGACGAAAGUCUGACGGAGCCACGCCGCGUGAGUGAUGACGGACUUCGGGUUGUAAAGGUCUGUUAAUCGGGACGCGGUACCGGAAUAGAAAGCCACGGCUAACUACGUGCCAGCAGCCGCGGUAAUUC
rnacentral:rRNA from 1 species